UACAGAGGUCUCAAGCGUUGUUCGGAUUCAUUGGGCGUAAAGGGUGCGUAGGUGGCGGGGUAAGUCAGGUGUGAAAUCUCGGGGCUCAACCCCGAAACUGCACUUGAUACUGCCUUGCUCGAGUACUGGAGAGGAGAUUGGAAUUUACGGUGUAGCAGUGAAAUGCGUAGAUAUCGUAAGGAAGACCAGUGGCGAAGGCGAAUCUCUGGACAGUUACUGACACUGAGGCCACGAAGGCCAGGGGGAGCAAACGGG
rnacentral:rRNA from 1 species